AACAUACUCCCUCUGUCUCAAAAUUCUUGUCUUAAAUUUGUUUAGAUAUGAAUGUAUCUAGUCAUGUUUUAGUAUUUUGAUACAUCUAUUUGUAGACAAACCUAAGACAAGAAUUUUAGGACGGAGGGAGUAUGUA
rnacentral:pre_miRNA from 1 species